GACGAACGCUGGCGGCGUGCCUAAUACAUGCAAGUCGAACGAACUGACGCUGGAACUUGUUCCAGUUGACGUGAGUGGCGAACGGGUGAGUAACACGUGGGGAACCUACCCUUCAGCGGGGGAUAACCGUCGGAAACGAUGGCUAAUACCGCAUAACACUUUGUACCACAUGGUACGGAGUUAAAAGACGGCUUCGGCUGUCACUGAAGGAUGGUCCCGCGGUGCAUUAGCUAGUUGGUGAGGUAAUGGCUCACCAAGGCGAUGAUACGUAGCCGACCUGAGAGGGUGAUCGGCCACACUGGGACUGAGACACGGCCCAG
rnacentral:rRNA from 1 species